rnacentral:rRNA from 1 species
AUGCGUGAUCUCAAACACGCAGCAGGCGCUUGGGUUGAUGAACUUCCGUCAGUUCUGUGGGGCUUGAGGACAACUCCUAAUCGGUCGACCGGACGAACUCCUUUCUUUUUGGUUUACAGAGUCGAAGCAGUUUUGCCAAGUGACCUGCUCCACAACGCACCCCGAGUCGAGCUCUUCUCCGAAGAGGAAGCAGAGCAGGCCCGACAAGAUUCAGUCGAUCUCUUGGAGGAGGAAAGAGAGAUGGCCUUUAUCCGGUCGACCAUCUACCAGCAAGACUUGCGUCGAUUCCACGCCAGAAAUGUGAGGGGUCGAGCCUUUCAAGAAGGAGACCUAGUUCUUCUAGUGGAUCAACAGAAACCACACAAGCUUGCCCCGACUUGGGAGGGCCCCUUCAUCAUCACCAAAGUUCUCCACAAUGGAGCAUACCAUCUUUACAGUAUUGAGCAUCAGAAAGAUGAGCCACGGGCUUGGAACGCGGAGCUGCUCCGCCCCUUUUAUACUUAA